rnacentral:lncRNA from 1 species
CUGUCAUUGCCAUGGGAACAUGCCCUGUGUAGAUGCUGGUUCUAGAAUGCAGAGACCCAAAGAGCAGGCUUGAAUCUGACUCUCAGCCUGAAGCAGAGGCUCUUAGCCAAGCCCUGCUUAGACUGCCUAAACCACAGCCAACCUGCAGACCCAUGAGUGUGGCAAUACGUAUGUAUGACUGAGAUGUCAUUUUUGCACCUGGAAAACCAGAAACAACAGAAGCUGCCGUGGCCAGGCAAGCAGGGCCCUCCCCCACCCAGUCCCCCGGCAGUGGAUGCUCAUCUUCCAGGAGAAGGGGACCCAGACAGCUGCCCUGUUCUCCGUGACCGAAGGCCCUGGACCCCAGGGUCUCAAUACUUGGGGACUGGUAUUUCUAUCUCAGGCCCCUCGCCUUGGGCAUCCACUGAGGGAUGUCCAGGCUGGGUCUAUGACCAAGAGACACUCCUCACGCUUCCUUAAAGCUGAGGACACCUCCAGGGCAGCCACCAUGAUUCCAGCCCCCGCCCCCUCAACCUCAGGCACACCCUGAUUUCUUCCUUCCCUCCCCAGUACGACCCUGCCCCUCCUUGCCAAUUGGCAUAUGGAAUGUGGAGACAAUAGAAGCUGAGUGUAACCACUGUUUACAGAAAAAAAAAAUGGUACAAGAUUUAUUUAUUGGAAGGUGACUGAGGAAUAUGAAUUCUACACUCCAUUUAAAAUGCUUUUUAUUUCUCUCAGCCUUGGGGCUCAGAGUACAUCUAAUUUCACCCACAGCUAUAAUUCUCUACCAAACAGUUCCUGCUGCUCCUCUGGGGUCCCCAGGAACCAAGUUAGUUUAUGUCUGCCACUGCUGAGGCGCAGGCAGGGGCAGCGACGGCUACGUGCCAGUGCGCAUGGGGCCCUCCCGCCCGCGCCACCCCCCGUCCCCG